UACAGAGGGGGCAAGCGUUGUUCGGAAUUACUGGGCGUAAAGGGCGCGUAGGUGGCCUUCUAAGUCGAACGUGAAAUCCCGUGGCUCAACUGCGGGCUGGCAGUCGAUACGGGCAGGCUGGAGUUCGGUAGGGGAGACUGGAAUUCCUGGUGUAGCGGUGAAAUGCGCAGAUAUCAGAAGGAACACCGGUGGCGAAGGCGGGUCUCUGGGCCGAUACUGACGCUGAGGGGCGAAAGCGUGGGGAGCGAACAGG
rnacentral:rRNA from 1 species